AUUGAACGCUGGCGGCAGGCCUAACACAUGCAAGUCGAGCGGAUGACGGGAGCUUGCUCCUUGAUUCAGCGGCGGACGGGUGAGUAAUGCCUAGGAAUCUGCCUGGUAGUGGGGGACAACGUUUCGAAAGGAACGCCAAUACCGCAUACGUCCUACGGGAGAAAGCAGGGGACCUUCGGGCCUUGCGCUAUCAGAUGAGCCUAGGUCGGAUUAGCUAGUUGGUGGGGUAAUGGCUCACCGAGGCGACGAUCCGUAACUGGUCUGAGAGGAUGAUCAGUCACACUGGAACUGAGACACGGUUCAGACUCCUACGGGAGGCAGCAGUGGGGAAUAUUGGACAAUGGGCGAAAGCCUGAUCCAGCCAUGCCGCGUGUGUGAAGAAGGUCUUCGGAUUGUAAAGCACUUUAAGUUGGGAGGAAGGGCAGUAAGUUAAUACCUUGCUGUUUUGACGUUACCGACAGAAUAAGCACCGGCUAACUCUGUGCCAGCCGCCGCAGUAAGAC
rnacentral:rRNA from 1 species